UCCUCGCUCAAACGGGCUGUGCUGUUUAAUUACCAACACAACCUCCUUGAGUGAGGGA
rnacentral:pre_miRNA from 1 species